CAUAGCAUGGAUUCUGAGAGCCAACAGACACUGUCCUAAUGCAGUUACACAUAAACAAUCAGUUACCUAGACAACAAGUGUAACGUUAACUGAAGCUGGUGUGUAGUAUAAGAGACAGGGUAUUUACAUACCGCGAAUCCUACUAAUUCGUGUGGGGGGGAGGGGUACCGACGAAUGGUUGUACCAACCGAUCCCCGAGGUGCUUGAGCGUGGAAACCGUGGGUGGUCUCAUGUACA